rnacentral:rRNA from 1 species
UACAGAGGGGGCAAGCGUUGUUCGGAAUUACUGGGCGUAAAGGGCGCGUAGGCGGCCUGCUAAGUCGAACGUGAAAUCCCCGGGCUCAACCCGGGAACUGCGUCCGAUACUGGUAGGCUUGAAUUCGGGAGAGGGAUGCGGAAUUCCAGGUGUAGCGGUGAAAUGCGUAGAUAUCUGGAGGAACACCGGUGGCGAAGGCGGCAUCCUGGACCAACACUGACGCUGAUGAGCGAAAGCCAGGGGAGCAAACGGG